CUGCUUGCCGCAUCACGCAAGAUGGCGGCCGCGGCGGUGAACGGGGCGGCAGGCUUCUCGAGCUCCGGGCCCGCGGCAACCUCGGGCGCUGUCCUGCAGGCCGCGACCGGCAUGUACGAGCAACUCAAGGGCGAGUGGAACCGUAAAAGCCCCAAUCUUAGCAAGUGCGGGGAAGAGCUGGGUCGACUCAAGCUAGUUCUUCUGGAGCUCAACUUCUUGCCAACCACAGGGACCAAGCUGACCAAACAGCAGCUAAUUCUGGCCCGUGAGUGUCACUGGGGUUGGUUGGGGGUGAUGAUCUGGGGGUCAUGGCAGGAAUGGUAGCACUGGUGGUUGGGGAAGAGACCUCAGUCACCUCCUGAGAGCUCACUCUGUCACCCACAGGUGACAUACUGGAGAUCGGGGCCCAAUGGAGCAUCCUACGCAAGGACAUCCCCUCCUUCGAGCGCUACAUGGCCCAGCUCAAAUGCUACUACUUUGAUUACAAGGAGCAGCUCCCCGAGUCAGCCUAUAUGCACCAGCUCUUGGGCCUCAACCUCCUCUUCCUGCUGUCCCAGAACCGGGUGGCUGAGUUCCACACGGAGUUGGAGCGGCUGCCUGCCAAGGACAUC
rnacentral:sRNA from 1 species